GGAUGUGUGGCCUAAUGGAUAUGGCGCCUGCCUUCGAAGCAGGAGAUUCCAGGUUCGAUCCCUGGCACGUUCA
rnacentral:tRNA from 1 species